rnacentral:sRNA from 1 species
GUCGUGAGAUGUUGGGUUAAGUCCCGCAACGAGCGCAACCCUUGUCUCAUGUUGCCAGCGCGUUAUGGCGGGGACUCGUGAGAGACUGCCGGGGUCAACUCGGAGGAAGGUGGGGAUGACGUCAAGUCAUCAUGCCCCUUAUGUCCAGGGCUUCACACAUGCUACAAUGGCCGGUACAAAGGGCUGCGAUGCCGUGAGGCUUAGCGAAUCCUUUAAAGCCGGUCUCAGUUCGGAUCGGGGUCUGCAACUCGACCCCGUGAAGUCGGAGUCGCUAGUAAUCGCAGAUCAGCAACGCUGCGGUGAAUACGUUCCCGGGCCUUGUACACACCGCCCGUCACGUCAUGAAAGUCGGUAACACCCGAAGCCCAUGGCCUAACCCCUUGUGGGAGGGAGUGGUCGAAGGUGGGAUCGGCGAUUGGGACGAAGUCGUAACAAGGUAGCCGUACCGGAAGGUGCGGCUGGAUCACCUCCUUUCUAAGGAGCACCUUUUUCCUCGUGCCUCACAUUGGGUGGGGGUGACACGGUGGGAUAGUUCAGUGUCGGCGCCUGUAGUGGGUGGCCGGCCGGUGCACAACAAACAUGUGGCUGGGACGGGAGCGUUGCCCGGUCACGAGGAAUCGCCGACACACUAUUGGGCUUUGAGACAACAGGCCCGUCAUCGCCUCUUUGCCCUGUUCGUGGGGGAACCGGGGGUGGUGGUGGGGGUUGUCGCUCCACUUGGUGGUGGGGUGUGGUGUUUGAGUGUUGGAUAGUGGUUGCGAGCAUCUUAAACAAAUUGCUGUUGUUGCAGCUUUUUGUCGAGUGUUGAAUUGAUUUUUUUGUGUGUAAGUGUAUUAGGGCGCAUGGUGGAUGCCUUGGCAUCAGGAGCCGAUGAAGGACGUGGGAGGCUGCGAUAUGCCUCGGGGAGCUGUCAACCGAGCGUGGAUCCGAGGAUGU